GAGAUCAGAAGCUGCUGGUCUGCAGACCUGCAGCAGGCUGACUGCGGUGUGCUGCUGUGGGGGUACAUGGGUCUGUUUUACUGCAGAUACAGCCCUGCUCACAUCCAGAAUACCGCCUCAGCAUGGAGAAAGAAAACAACAAACCACCUGGAACAUUGCUGCGUCCUGCAGAGGCCCAAACUACCUCCACAUCAUGAUUUAAUGAUGGCUGCAGUUAAUUUUCAUCCUUAAACACAGCAGGCAUGGGACACGGACUUUGCCCUGGAGCCAUCUGCAGACUUGAUGACACUUCAUCGGUUUGAAUCCUGUGAGGAUCUAAACGGCAAAUGCCAACGCAGGUUAUGUGAUGGCUGGAUGAUAUUGUUUUUUAUUUUAUUUAUUGUUAAAAUUUUAUAAGAUCACAUGGCAUAAAUGUGGUACAGCUGAAUCAUUACAUAAAAAAAGAGAAAAAUCAGUAACUUAGGCUUAAUAGAAAUCAAUGAGGAAAAGUUGGGAGGACAAAUGGUUUCUGUCCCACUUUCUGCUGCUUUGUGUUAUGUGUUCCUCCCCAGUUACACUGAAGAAGCUGAUGGAGGUGCACGAUGAACCUCAUCGUAGUCCUGCACCACCAGAGACUCUGCCCGCUGCUGUGAUACCAAACAGAACGGCAGAAAAAUCUCAUUUGAAGCGUUGUUUCCACUGCUGCCAAAGAGGAUGAAGACUAAAAAUUCUCCAAACUGAGUGAGAGACGAAGGAGAUGACGCUGACGUCUGCUGCCUUUUUCUUCCUUUUGUGUUUUGUUUGUGACAGUCUGUAUGAACAGUUCUUAUCUCAGAUCUUUUUUCUUAAGUAGAAUCACUCGAUAAAUAACAAAGUGUGAACCUUUUGGUCUAUAUAUAACUUCAUCUGCUGCCACACUAAUUUUUUUUAUCUUCAUCACGUAUGUGUUGUGCUGUGUUGUGCACAGUUUGCUCACUUCAUCAGACCUUUUAAAUGAACUGAAAAUGGUUUGUUUUGUGUCUUUUCAGUGAUAUUCUGUCCUUCCAAAGUUUUGGACAGUAUGUCAUUUAUUAUCUUGCUUGUUUUUCCAAAACAUCUUAAAUUUUACAAACCAGUACUGCACAGUUUGUGUCAUGUAAUGUUUGUGUUCGCGUGAGUGUGUGCAUGUGUGGAGUAUAUGUGCUGCAUUUAUGUGGGUUUGUUAAGGUGUGUGCACGUGCAUUUGUGUCUGUCUGAUACAAACCCUUUAUGAUGUGUACAGGUGUGAUUGGAUCCUGUUGGCCUUAAGCUAUUUUCACUUUAGAGAGAUUUUCUGCCACAGCUGCAGUGGUUUUUAUUUUUUAACCAGACGUGGGGCAAAAUAUUGACUUAUGAUUGUUAGCAUUUGUCGCAACCUCAGUGAACUACCCAUUUAAAUCAUGUGUUGUCUUUUAAAUCCUCACAAGAUUGCAUUAUAUAGGUACAAUGUAAAGCAGUUAUACUGUACAGAUUUUCACUGAGGUGACAUUAAAAACACAACUGCACUUUAUAGUAUACUAGACACAUGAAAGCUAACAUCUUUUAUUUAUUAUCAGUUUGGUCUUACUAAGAAACCAAUUUGUUAUUUCAGAAUGCUGAAAAUUCCAUCUUACACUGGCAGUGCACUAAUCUGCAUUAAAUGUCAGUUAAUGUGCAGUUAAAGUCCAGUAACUUAGAACUUUUGAGGCUGUGUACAUCUGCGGUGCACGCAGCAUUCCUUUGUGCAAGACUUUUGCAAAAUUCCACAUACACAAUAACAUGGGAGACACACUUCCAAUAAUCCGAUAACAAAUAAUUAUCGAAGAUAAUGUUUUCAUUAUCGGAUUAUCGUUUUACAUAACUUUAA